ACCUAUCUGGAUGCUCUAGCUAACCACCAACCCCGCGGCAUUUAAUAAUUAAUCUUCAAGCCGCGUGUGGUCACCAUCCUUUAACAAGAUCCGACGCUUCCUCUUUUCUUACCGGAAAAUCGGCUUUUAACAUCUUCAGGAAAUUCCUUGUAAUGUGCAUGGAGUUAAAACCUGAGGUCAGGCGGCGGAUGGACGCUCAUGCGUGGUUGAGAUUCGUACAUAAAAUUGGACGUUCGCCACCCGGUCGACAGGAUCACAGUGUCAUCUGUGGAAUAUUCGACAUACGCUCGGCCACCCACCACGUGGGGACAGGCACGGCGUGAGACCCCUGUGGCGGCACCACGACGCAGACGUGUGAGUGUCCUGUGAGAGGCAUCGCCACCGGCCGCCUCCCUUGUGACGAAGAUGAGCUCCUGCCAGCAUUUCCGAGCGUUUUCUUGCCAAAUACUUUCUGCCAGUUUGAGUACUUCUAACCCUUUCUUCUUGUGAAAACACACAUUCCUUAACUUUAAGGAAAAAUAAUUUCUUUAUGUGAAACCCGGGAAGAACGGUAAGAAAGACCCACAGAAAUAGGACAAACUGCAGUCGGGUGGAUGUCUUCCUUAGAUCAGCUAAGACUCUGGGAGGACGAGAUCAUUCCCUUGCAAAGAACUGCUUCACAGAAAGGGAUUUGAUUGAGAUGAUUCACAAGGACCAGAGUCAAGAUCACGUGGGCCCCUGAAGAGACGGACAGGAGCCUGCAGGUGGUGCUCUGACUCUCAGGACCCCUUGCUGUGGGCUGAGCAGGGGCUGAGCUGGGACCCGCCAGGAUGCCCUGGGCCCCGCCUGCCUUGCUGCAUCCACAGAACCAAUGACCAGACGGCGUGGCUUUAGUCACUGCUGCUCUUACCACUGCUGCUCUCAGCCCCCUUGCCCGCCCCCAGAGGCCAGAGCAGCAAGAAGUGUGGUUGGGUCUUCUUGUGCCCCCUGAUCAGGAGAGAGAAGCGGGACCCUGAAGUAGAUGGUGUCGAUCCAGACUGACAUGUGCCGUGACACGAGUGGGGCCCCCACAGAGCCGAGGGCUGCAGGCGUCCCUCCGGGAGGCUGAUGGGCGUCCAUGGAGGAGGAAGCCCGGCAUCUCCACAGACCUUUCUCCUCUGGGUUCCGACCCGCCACACCCACACGGUGGCGAGGCCUCUGGUGGGCACAUGGCUCAUACGGCUGCAACCAGCAAUCGUUUGCGGUGUCGCCCACACCUGACUGAGGGCUGCUGGGGUCCUGUGGCUGAACCCAGACUCGAGGGUAAGGGUGUGUGUGUGAACCUGGGCCAGCGAUGCAGAUGGCACAGGCAGAGAGCCCCUCUGAUUGGCCAGAGCGCCUGCACAUCAUCACUGCAUGUAAUCCACCGCGGAGACUUGGUUUCGCCAUAUUCUGCAGAAAUAAGACAAAUAGGAGAAUAACCAGACUGUGAAGAAACAGGAAUGGAAUUCUGGUGAGAAAAUUGCUUGAUAAUAGCUAACACUAUAUCAUAGCGAGCAAACCUAAAUGUGUCCAAAUUAAUGUAUAUUCACACCAAACAAAUGUUAAUUAAACAAGCUAC